UACGGAGGAUGCGAGCGUUAUCCGGAUUUAUUGGGUUUAAAGGGAGCGCAGACGGGAGAUUAAGUCAGUUGUGAAAGUUUGCGGCUCAACCGUAAAAUUGCAGUUGAUACUGGUCUUCUUGAGUGCAGUUGAGGCAGGCGGAAUUUGUGGUGUAGCGGUGAAAUGCUUAGAUAUCACGAAGAACCCCGAUUGCGAAGGCAGCUUGCUAAACUGUAACUGACGUUCAUGCUCGAAAGUGUGGGUAUCAAACAGG
rnacentral:rRNA from 1 species